UGACCUGGUGGAAAUCCCAGAAGAGACUCUGGGGAGCUUUCCAGAGAAGAGGCACUGGUUCUUCAUGCAGUAGCUCAACCAAGUGUUCAUCGAGAGACUUCCACACUUCCAGACCUGGAGCCCGUGGGUACUGGGUCUAAUUUCUCUCUACAGCUUAGAGGUCUCCUGUUCCUGUGUGCAGCAGCACCUGAGAUGGGAAGUUCACGUGAGCUCAGACCACCUUUCUGCAGCUGGGAGUGCAGAAAGCCACUGGAGGACCCAUUGACCAGAGGGAUGAGAGCCAGUGGAUAAUCUAGAAGGCUUGAGACCUCUUCUCCAGAAGGCCUGCAAGAAGCCAGCUCCCACCCUGGAGAACAACACUUUCUUUCACUCCUUGCUUUUUUGCCUCCUUUUCCUCCCUCCUUCCAUUUUUUUUCUUUACUUUUUAAUUUUUUUUUAAUAUUUUUUAGUUGUUGAUGGACCUUUAUUUAUUUGUAUGUGGUGCUGAGAAUCGAACCCAGUGCCUCACGCAUGCUAGGCAAGCGCGCUAUCACUGAGCCACAUCCCCAGCCCUCUUUUUUUACUUUUUUUACUUUUUUUUUGCUUUGUUUUGUUUUGGGGAUUGAACCCCAGGCUGCCGACCUACUGAGCUACAUCACUAGCCCUUCUUUUUUAAACAGGGUCUCACUAAGUUCCUUAGGACCUCACUAAACUGUUUAGGGCCUCACUAAGCUGCUGAGGCUGGCCUUGAACUUGCAAUACUUCCUGCCUCAGCCUCCCGACUCACUAGGAUUACAGGCAUGCACUGCUUCUCCUGGCUUUCCUUACAUUUUCUAGAAUCACCUUCAGGUUCACCCUUCAUGCACAUGCUUUUGCCUCUGGCUCUGCUUUCUGGAGAACCCAAGCUGUCAUUUGAUAUUUCAGAAUCUAAUUUUCCAUCUCUACAAAAAAAAAAAGAAAAAAAAACCAGGACUUCUGGACCCUGUGCCUCGGCUGUCUGGAAGGAAGGGGAAACUCUGGUGACUAAUCAAGUCCAGUGACAAGCUCUUUGGAGAGCAGCUCCACUUCCACAUCAAAUGUUCCUUCCAGAACCUGAGAGCAGUUUCAGAAGAAAGAGCCAAGUCCUUCCAGCUACUCCUGCUGAAGCUUCUUAUCCAAGGCAACAUUAUCCGGCUCCUCCCCAAGGACAUGCUCAGAGUCCUCUGCCUGUCCGGUCCUGAGGUCUCAUGGGUGUGAAGCUAUGUGCCCUUGGCUGCAUAGUUCCAAUUAACAUCUGGACAUCCCUGUCUGGGAUGGAUUUCUUCUUCUCAAAAGAGCAUCCUCCAGGCACCAGAGACCUCACUGGCUCCUUAGUUCCUUGGUUUCCCUAUAAAUGUCAAACCAUCCCUUCUGUGGAACCCAGCAAUGUCUUUGAAGUGGCCAUGGCCAUGAACAGCCCAAUAUUAUUUCACCAGGGGCUAAGAGGCUGCAGAAACCAUCCGGGGACCUCAGCCUCCUUGCACUCCAGCGACUCCCAUCCUAGUGGGGAGAUGCCUACCCAGCCUUGGAAGGCAAGGAGGGCAACUGCUGAAAGCCAGAGGCCCAGAAACAUGGAGAACUAUGUGAGGAUGGUUCCUCUCCCCGAAAGAGUCAGGGGGAAUCCUCCCUCUCUGUGCUGGCCAGGAAGGAGAAGCCAAGAGUCCGAACUCCCAGGCAGUUUCCAUCUGGACCAGUUUCUUUCUAGGCAUAGAGCUUCAGCCAAAGAAAGUAGGGGGUGAGGAGGAGGCCUGAGCCACCAAUCCUGCCCCUGGGUGCUCUGUGUGUGGUCUCCUCUGGUCCUUGGUUUUCCAUCUACAACUAGGGUGAAGGCUACUCUGAAAAUCACAGAAGCUUGCAAUGAGCAGAGGCUUCAAGGGCUGCUAGCACAGGCUCCUCCAUGUGCCCGAGGCCAAGAGUCUCACUCGACUGGAUGAUGGUUGACUAUAACAGCUGGCCUUGGUGCUCCUACCGAGGAGCAAGUCCAACCAUGGCUGGUCCAGAUUUCUCCUGUCCAGGAUCCUGUUAGUCCUCUACCUAUCGUGUCAUCCAGCAUUCCCAGGUCACAACCAGAAAAUGAUUUCAUGGCCCUCUCAGGUAUGCAGGUCCAUCCAACCCAAGGGACAGCACUAUUACAGAUAGACCUCCGUAAGAAGUUAUUCCCAUGGCAAAAGUGAGGAGUGCUCUUAGAGUAGUCAUUCAACUCCUGAUCAUGAACCACUGGAAGCAAUAAAUCACCACCAGCACCCGCACAUGCAUGUAUGUUUAUACAAACUGCAAGAAAGAACUCAUAAAAUAAAACGUAUCCUUAUCACAUGCA